CGGCCUCCAAAAGUGCUGGGAUUACAGGCGUGAGCCACCGUGCCCGGCUGUGAGUAACUUUUUACAUUGAUUACAUGUUGAAAUAAUAUUUUGGCUAUACUGUAAGUUCAAAAAUAUUAAAAUCAAUUUCACCUGCUCUUUAUUUUUUAUGUGACUAGUAGUAAAUUUUUAAUUACAAUGUAUGCCUCACACUGUAUCCGACAGUACUGUCUAGAUGUCCUUGGGCCUCUGUUUCCUCC
rnacentral:lncRNA from 1 species